UUUAUCCCCCGUGUCCCCAAAUGGUUUGUGCAGUCUCCAGAGCGAGUGCUAUAGCUCAGGACCAGAGGAAGGGACACACAGGAUUACUUGACGCCAACAACAGCAGAAACAGCAGAAACAGCAGAAACAGCAAAUUUAAGCUUCAACAUAAACGAUCGGACAAGUAACAGCCCAAAAAGCAAGAACAAAGUCAACAGCAGCAGCGACGGGAGUCAGGCUACCCUGACCAGUAGAACGCAAACAACAGCUACAUCAGCAACUAACAGGAACACUUACUAGCUGGCAAAUACAGACACGAAGACAGAAUCAAGAACAGCUGGAGCAUCAAGAGCGAGGAUAACAAUUCAGAGAAGGAUAAGAACAGCUGCUACGAUACAAAAUACCGCCACGAACCCAGAUCACUGACUGAUAUCACAGAAUAAAGAAAAACGACAGUCCAAUAACAAUAAUAACAGCUACAAAAACACAAUAAAGAAACGUCCCAACGAAAA